AGUUCGGAUUGCAGGCUGCAACCCGCCUGUAUGAAGUUGGAAUCGCUAGUAAUCGCGGAUCAGCAUGCCGCGGUGAAUACGUUCCCGGGCCUUGUACACACCGCCCGUCACACCAUGAGAGUCGGGAACACCCGAAGUCCGUAGCCUAACUUAUCUGAGAGGGCGCGGCCGAAGGUGGGUUCGAUAAUUGGGGUGAAGUCGUAACAAGGUACC
rnacentral:rRNA from 1 species